CCCUGCAGCCCAUGGGUCCCACAUGGAACAGAUCUCCAUGUGGAGAGGCCCCUGAUGUCACAGGCUGUCCCCUGCAGCCCGUGGUCUCCCAGAGCUGUGAGAACCAAGGGGAAGGGAGCCCAGCAGCUGGCAUUUCUUCUGGCAACACGGCUUGUGCCUGAAGCUGUAGGCGGAGGGCAGCGUUUUCAAGUGCAAACAGUAACCUCAGACAACCUUUCAGAGGUAUUUUAUGAAGCAGUCUGUUUCAGUAUAGGGCUAUUCAGCUCUGAUCCCUUGCUGCUUCCCACACUGGCUGGUUUAUGUUUUACCGGCUUGAAGCUGGCAGACAGUGGGCACCUGGCUGCAAAAGUAGGCCCAGGAGUCACAAAUGGUUUAAAGAGCUUAAAAGAGAAUGCAUUUCUGAUACAAACAUGGUCAAGAAACUGGAACUGUUUCUGAGGUAAAUCUACCUGAAUUAAGAAAACAUAACAAACAGGAAUAUAUGUGGUGAAAAAUGGAAGAAGAAGUUAAAGGCAAAGUGAACCACGACCUUCAGGCAGACUUAAGAAAGGGUGCUUGGAGUUGAUUAUUGUUUUCCAAAAUAGACUCAUGACUGAAAGCUCUCCCAUAGUUUGUUUUAGUGUGGAAAUGUGCCUCUCUGAGCGAGGUAUUGCCAGGGCAGCAGUGCUGCUCCCCAGGCCUGUGCUGGUACUGGCAGAGCAGUGCCAUGGUCAAGGGGGAGCCCCUCUCAUUAGGGGUCUCCUUUGGUUAGGGGUUCUUGUUAAUAGGUUAAACUAAGGCUUGUCCCAAAGCUGCAGUGAUUCGCACAUCUCGAUUAAAAUCUUUGGACAUAGGGUUGAGGUGCUGACUGCAGUGGAAAAGAUGAGGUUGUAGGAAGGAGCUGCAAGAACAUCUACACAGAGCAGUGCAGAAAAGGUCAGGCUGCAGGCAGAGGAAGAUGCUGCUGGUUGAGAUGGGCACCAGCAACGACUGGGGAUACAAGACAGCUGAAUAGGAAAUAAUCCAUUGUCUACUUGUUUAUUUUAAAGAUACCAACAAAACUGCAUCAGAACAUUUUAAAUGUAUCAAACAAUCAAGUAAUUUGACUUCUGAUGAGAUAUUAUCAUUAUUACAUCCUGGGAAUGCUAAUACUAAUCCUGAGAAAUGCAGGAAGAUUAUAAAUGAAUUGGAAGAGGAAAGGACAUGCAUUUUUAGUUAAUAUCCAGCUUUAAAAUAUUGUGUAGUGCAGCAAAUUAUAAUAUAAGUAAGCCAUCAUUCAAUCUCAGAAUCUUAUGACAAAGUGAAAUAUUGUCUAUAGGCAUGAAGCUCUAUGAGCAGACGAAGAAACCCUAAUGAAAAUGUAAAUGCACCUUCGCUGAUGAUGUGAAUUCACGUCAUCACUGGACAGACAUAUCCCUAAACUGAGGCUGAAAAUUUUGUAAGGUGUAUUUUCUGAUGUUAGAAAUUACUUUUGUAUGGUAAGCAAGGACUGUGCGGUUGCAGAUUUCCAGAUCUGUAGAAUGAUAAAGAUGGUAAUAAUGGAUAGCUGAGAAAAACAAUUGCUUAUAGUGAAAUAUGAAUUGAGUCAACACCUCUUCUACAGUGAUUGAGGGCAAACACCAAAGAAACUUUAUUUCCUCUUUGAGAGAAAAGAUAACACUGAUAAAUCUGACACACCUACAAUAAAAUGUCAGUCAAGGAGCAGGGUUAAAACUACAGAGAAGCUUUAGGUCAGCCAGAAACCCUUCAAAGCCCAUGAUUUUGAUGGUGAGGUUUGGGUACUUGGUCCCUCUUGUGGGCAGAACUGUGUUUCCUCCUAAGACAAGCAGCUUGGUGGCUCCUUCUGGUGAAAGGUUUGGGAGAAGGUGAGACCAGAAAUGGCUCUUCAGGGGUGUGUGAACUCCUCAAAUACCAUUUUUCUUGCAGAAAAGCAUGGACUAUGAGGUAUACAAAAAGCUGCAACCUCAGUCAAUGCAGUAUGUGUAACUGGUACAACAAAUUCACCCAACAAAUACAUGGAAGAAGUCUGCAGUAAAUUUUGACAUUCUCCAAAGAGUGAGAUACUAGGCAAAGCGUAUUUUAUUUUAUUUUAUUUUAUUUUAUUUUAUUUUAUUUUAUUUUAUUUUAUUUUAUUUUAUUUUUUAUCCAUUCUGUUCAUUUUUUCCUUGCCUGCACCCACCCACAUGGCAGGAGGGAGGGGCAAUGCCCCUAUGGUCACACAGGUGACACCAAUAAAUUGCUGAGAUAGGCAGAAGGCUUUUCCAGCCAUCUUCUCUUGGAGUCAGGAAAAUGCACCAAGCCCUCUAUAGGGUAUUUCUUGCCUCUUUAAAUAUUUCAGGUAUUGAAGGCUUUUUACACCUGUCUCCAGAAAACUUGUAGAGUGAGCAGUCUCUGCUAGUAAAAGCAAGAGAUGCGGUGAAGCGUGCUAUCAGUGUUGGGUGCCACCACUUUGACUGUGCCUUCACGUACCAGAAUGAGAGUGAGAUCAUAGAUGCACUACGAGAAAAAAAUUAGGAGGGUGUUUUGAGGCCAAGAAAGAGGUGGUGGAUGUGUGGGAAGGGUAAAAGCCAUCAGAAUCUCCAGCUUCAACUGUAGACAGACAGAUCGGCUCUUGAGCAAACCAGAUUUGAACCACAAACCUGCAAAUAAUCAGGUGCUCAUCUGGCUCCAUAUUCAAAGAAAUGUGAAUGUAAUUCCCAAACCUGUCACUCCACACCAUACUGAGGAAAAUGUUAAGGUGCUUGACUGUGAAUUGGCUAAAGAGGAGAUGGAAACCUUCCUCACCUUCAAGAAGUAAUACCAAAUCUGUGCCUUAAGUGACUGAGUACCUCCUUCUUCCCCUCCUCCUCCGUCUUUCAGCAGGAUUGGAUUAAUCAUUGCCUUGUUUAAAGAAAGGGGUAACCUUAGCUGAUACGUGGCACAUCCAUAUCUGCUGGAAUCCAGCACCAGGGUUUAUUAGAGCACCGUCCAUGCUCUAAUAUGCAGAGUAUGUUAAGACACCUGUAAUGGAUUUCAAACUAAUGCCUGAAAAUCAAAAUCAGUUGGAAAUUCUAAAAAAAAAAAAAAAAAAGGCAUUUUUUUGUUUUCUUUGGCUACUUUAUGUAACAGACAGUCACUGUAAAUAAACUCAAUUUUAAGAAUGAGUUGCAAUUUUUUUUUUUUAAGUGAAAAUCUGUGCCUGUGUAUUUAUGCCAACAUUAUUAGGGCAGCAUCUAGAGAUCAGAACAGUUAUAUACAGACUUAGCAAAACCUGCCAUUUAUUGUUUCCCUAGGUUUACUCACUUAUCUAAUAGAAUUCUGCAAACUUCCAGUUCACAAGAGAGUCGUUUAAUAUUGCAGAGAAGUUUGGCAAUUUCAGCCAUGCAAACAUUAUCUUAUCUUCUGAGAAUGAGGUCAUUGGCACAUGUGAAGGUUACAAAGCAUGAACUUCCACUAUGCUAUGUAAGGUAAGCAGGGUUUGUUUUUAUUGCAGUUCAGUUUUAGCUCUGCAGAGCUUUCACUGGGACAGGGGAGAAAGCUCUUUUUUCUCAGCUUUAAGACUAUAUGAUAUGAGCAUUUUAAUCCUAUGCUUGCUUUCAUAUGCAAAAAAACCAAGAACUAUCUUUUUGGAGGACUAAUGUGGGCAUUAUCUUCAGAUCCCUCAGGGAUCAAGAGGACUAUAUUUCAUUGUUGAAGUGAUUUGUAGUGCUUUGGGUGUAUUAAAUCACAGCAGAAGUUGACUAUGUAUUGCACAAGAUGGAAGAACACAGUUCAUGGGACUACUGAGGAGUAAACUUCAAGCAGGCAUGAGUUUGCUUCAUUUAGUAUCAACUACAGUUCUAUCCCUCCUUUAUCUGUAUCUUUACUUUGAUCUUGUAAUUGUUCUCACUUGUAACAAAAUACAUAUUUUAUAAGCAUUUAGUAAUGACAAUUAAGCUUAAUAAUCC